rnacentral:rRNA from 1 species
GAUGAACGCUGGCGGCGUGCCUAAUACAUGCAAGUCGAGCGAACAGAUGAGGAGCUUGCUCCUCUGACGUUAGCGGCGGACGGGUGAGUAACACGUGGAUAACCUACCUAUAAGACUGGGAUAACUUCGGGAAACCGGAGCUAAUACCGGAUAAUAUAUUGAACCGCAUGGUUCAAUAGUGAAAGACGGUUUUGCUGUCACUUAUAGAUGGAUCCGCGCCGCAUUAGCUAGUUGGUAAGGUAACGGCUUACCAAGGGGACGAUGCGUAGCCGACCUGAGAGGGUGAUCGGCCACACUGGAACUGAGACACGGUCCAGACUCCUACGGGAGGCAGCAGUAGGGAAUCUUCCGCAAUGGGCGAAAGCCUGACGGAGCAACGCCGCGUGAGUGAUGAAGGUCUUCGGAUCGUAAAACUCUGUUAUUAGGGAAGAACAAAUGUGUAAGUAACUAUGCACGUCUUGACGGUACCUAAUCAGAAAGCCACGGCUAACUACGUG